CCCAAUCACCCAUAAUGGAAGGUGCACAAGGAAACCGAGUCAUAUCCUUUCCUGCAGCUAGGACGCGAAACUGUGAAGAGGAUAAACGGCAAGGAAACACGCUUAUGUAUCAAUACAAAAGCGCUUAAACAAAAAAGCUCCAAGCAGCCAUCACAAUGGUAUCGCGUUUGGAAAUAUCGACAUCAUCGCGUUGGCGUCGGAGGAACACCGCGUACGUCGCCAAUCGACUUCACAUCUUUAUCAUCCUCGCGUUUGAUACAGGUCGAAGCGAGAAAAACGGAGAAAUUGAAAAAAAGCAAAAGUGCUUAUCGAUACUUACCGGAAGACAAUCGAGAUCCUUGAUUUCACGUUUGCCAAUCGAUGCGGAUGGUAAUCGCUUCUUGAAUCGAUCCGCGCCGGGAACGCCGUAACUCCGUGAAUCAAUACCGACUUCAAAGGUUGAAGGUUCACGUUGCAGAAGGAAGAAAGCUCGGGUUGGAGAAUGAAGACAGAUCUCUUAGUGCAGAACCAAGAGGAAGCUCGUGCAGAAUCCUGAAGCUGGAGCUUCUGGGCAGAAUAACGAAGAAGAAAUUCUUAGAGAAGAAUGUAGAGUCCGGGAGUGAAAAAUGAAGUCCCCAGGUUGAAGAAGAUGAUGGAUCAAAAUGCAGAAAAAUGAAAAAACUCUCUCCACCUUGUAAGUGCAGAAUCCUUUUAUAGAGGUUUAGAAUGAUAGUGAAAUUCGGAUUUAAUUAUAAGUUAGUUAGAAAUGCCACUUAAAUUGCAAUCAAAAUUCACUUCAAAUUACCUUGGAAUUAAGUUAAAUUCAGUUUUGGAGUGAAUUUGGAUUGCUUAUCUAUUAAAUUUUCAAUAAUUAUUUGGUUAACUGUUAAAGUUAGCUUGUAUUUUGUUUGGGGUUAGUUAUCAGUUUAUGUUAAUGACUGCUAUGCCUGCUUAGUCGUUCUGUUUCGGGAAUGAAAUUCUGAAAUUCUGAAA